rnacentral:rRNA from 1 species
GUCCACGCCCUAAACUAUGCGAACUAGGUAUUGGCAGUAUCGACCCUGUCAGUGCCGUUUAAAAGUUAACACGUUAAGUUCGCCGCCUGGGGAUUACGAUCGCAAGAUUAAACUCAAAGAAUAGACGGGGACCCGCACAAGCAGUGGUUCAUGUGGUUUAAUUCGACGGUAAGCGUGGAACCUUACCUGGGGCUCAACUACUAGCUGCAAGCCUCCAGAAACGGAGGCCGCCUUCGAGGGUGCUAGAUAGGGUGCUGCAUGGUUGCCGU